AGACAGCAGUCGCCGCGGGAAUACGUAGGUGGCAAGCGUUGUCCGGAAUUAUUGGGCGUAAAGGGCUCGCAGGCGGUUUCUUAAGUCUGAUGUGAAAGCCCCCGGCUCAACCGGGGAGGGUCAUUGGAAACUGGGAAACUUGAGUGCGGAAGAGGAGAGUGGAAUUCCACGUGUAGCGGUGAAAUGCGUAGAGAUGUGGAGGAACACCAGUGGCGAAGGCGACUCUCUGGUCUGUAACUGACGCUGAGGAGCGAAAGCGUGGGGAGCGAACAGGAUUAGAUACCCCAGUAGUCCCUGUCUCUUAUAC
rnacentral:rRNA from 1 species